GACGAACGCUGGCGGCGUGCUUAACACAUGCAAGUCGAACGGAAAGGCCCUGCUUUUGUGGGGUGCUCGAGUGGCGAACGGGUGAGUAACACGUGAGUAACCUGCCCCUGACUUUGGGAUAACUUCAGGAAACUGGGGCUAAUACCGGAUAGGAGCUCCUGCUGCAUGGUGGGGGUUGGAAAGUUUCGGCGGUUGGGGAUGGACUCGCAGCUUAUCAGCUUGUUGGUGGGGUAGUGGCUUACCAAGGCUUUGACGGGUAGCCGGCCUGAGAGGGUGACCGGCGACAAUAGGACUGAGAUACGGCCCAGACUCCUACGGGAGGCAGCAGUGGGGAAUAUUGCACAGUGGGCGGAAGCCUGAUACAGCAACGCCGCGUGCGGGAUGACGGCCUUCGGGUUGUGAACCGCUUUCGCCUGUGACGAAGCGUGAGUGACGGUAAUGAGUAAAGAAGCACCGGCUAACUACGUG
rnacentral:rRNA from 1 species